rnacentral:rRNA from 1 species
UACGUAGGGUGCAAGCGUUGUCCGGAAUUAUUGGGCGUAAAGAGCUUGUAGGCGGUUUGUUGCGUCUGCUGUGAAAUUUCGGGGCUCAACCCCGAACUUGCAGUGGGUACGGGCAGACUAGAGUGUGGUAGGGGAGACUGGAAUUCCUGGUGUAGCGGUGAAAUGCGCAGAUAUCAGGAGGAACACCGAUGGCGAAGGCAGGCCUCUGGGCCACUACUGACGCUGAGAAGCGAAAGCAUGGGGAGCGAACAGG